GGCCUUGUGGCUCAAUGGUUAGAGCGCCGCUGGUAGUCACACCUGUGACCGCUGCUUUAUAUUUACAGCGGAGGUACAUGUGUUCAAAUCACACCUAAGCCA